UGAACGCUGGCGGCGUGCCUAAUACAUGCAAGUCGAGCGAACAGACGAGGAGCUUGCUCCUCUGACGUUAGCGGCGGACGGGUGAGUAACACGUGGAUAACCUACCUAUAAGACUGGGAUAACUUCGGGAAACCGGAGCUAAUACCGGAUAAUAUAUUGAACCGCAUGGUUCAAUAGUGAAAGACGGUUUUGCUGUCACUUAUAGAUGGAUCCGCGCCGCAUUAGCUAGUUGGUAAGGUAACGGCUUACCAAGGCGACGAUGCGUAGCCGACCUGAGAGGGUGAUCGGCCACACUGGAACUGAGACACGGUCCAGACUCCUACGGGAGGCAGCAGUAGGGAAUCUUCCGCAAUGGGCGAAAGCCUGACCGAGCAACGCCGCGUGAGUGAUGAAGGUCUUCGGAUCGUAAAACUCUGUUAUUAGGGAAGAACAAAUGUGUAAGUAACUAUGCACGUCUUGACGGUACCUAAUCAGAAAGCCACGGCUAACUACGUG
rnacentral:rRNA from 1 species